UAUCACAGCAGAAGGCAAUCAUGGCAGUACAAACAGAUGUUUUCUCACAACUAACUGUAACAUUUGUCGUCAUUUCAGAAUUUCUCAUGUCAUUCGUGAAAUAUUUAUUUAUAUCAUAUAGU